rnacentral:rRNA from 1 species
AACGAACGCUGGCGGCAGGCUUAACACAUGCAAGUCGAACGCAUCGCAAGAUGAGUGGCAGACGGGUGAGUAACGCGUGGGAACAUACCCUUUUCUACGGAAUAGCCCUGGGAAACUGGAAUUAAUACCGUAUACGCCCUACGGGGGAAAGAUUUAUCGGGGAAGGAUUGGCCCGCGUUGGAUUAGCUAGUUGGUGGGGUAAAGGCCUACCAAGGCGACGAUCCAUAGCUGGUCUGAGAGGAUGAUCAGCCACAUUGGGACUGAGACACGGCCCAAACUCCUACGGGAGGCAGCAGUGGGGAAUAUUGGACAAUGGGCGCAAGCCUGAUCCAGCCAUGCCGCGUGAGUGAUGAAGGCCUUAGGGUUGUAAAGCUCUUUCACCGAUGAAGAUAAUGACGGUAGUCGGAGAAGAAGCCCCGGCUAACUUCGUGCCAGCCGCCGCGGUAACAC